AGCUUUGCGCAGUGGCAGUAACAUAGCUGGAUGAGGUUCAUCCGGAGGCGUGUUUAUUGCUAGUUGAAAACUAUACCCAAUACCCCGCCCUGUGGACGUGUAAACCGUUCGCUGUGGCAAUUUCUGAUGGGUUCCCCGGAAC
rnacentral:snRNA from 1 species